GUUUGGAAACGAUCUUUUAUUUUUCCCUGUGGUUGGAUUUUAACUGGUAUUGACUAGAUGAACAAAUUAUAUUUGACGGUUCUGGUUUGAGAAGGAAAUUUUGAGGGCGGAUUUAGGGAAGCGAGCCGCUGAGAGUAAUGCAUUUGGACGGCGGUGUGUUUGUGUUGGAAAGUGGGCGUAUGUUGUCGGUAAGCCUGAAGAUCUGGUUGGGUAGGAACGGGGGGCUGUAUAAAAAGGUGGAGCACAGCGUUAGAGCUCUGCCUCACUAGUUCAGGUUCAUCACUGUCUGGAUUUUCAUAGUGGCACAGGAAGUGGAAGGUUGUUCUCUGUUCGCGGGAUCACUUCUUCAGUUUUGCUGAAGGUCUUAAGUGAUCUCGGCGAUUCCCUCUGCUUUGAGCCACACCACCCCAGCAAAAUGAUCAUAAGACUCGGCAGGCUGACACCUGGAUACUUCCGGCUCCUCCAGAGGCAGGUUGCUGGUGAGGUGCAGACACAGCCUCGGGACCGGGCUGUGAACCAGAUCGCCAUGAUGCUGGCCAUCAUGGGUCUGAGCCUGUCUUACUACAGUGCCAAACAGAUGACCGAGAAGGUCCAUGUCCAGCCUGCACCGUGAGACCCGGCCGCUCUGGCUGCGGAGAUGAUGGAUGAAUCGAUGACAAAUGGAGGAUGUGGAGCAAAGAGGCAGAGAAGGGAAGGCAGCAGUGUCUCUCAAGACAGCACUUUCUCACCUCAGUCACUCUCGGACACUGACUAUUUGGCACCAUUUGUGCACCUUGAACAGAGCUUUAAAGGCUCUCAAAAGUGCAUUUUCCACACUUUUUGUAGCCAAGACCUUUUUUUUUUUAAAUAGGGAAUUGGGGGGAGAUGGCUCACUCUGGGAUGUGGACUGGUUUUAUUAACUGGUUUGAGAGGGUGAAUAAAACCAGCUGACUGCCAACUGGGUCUAAAUAUUAGUCGUUACAAGGGUGCCAGUGCUGUUCAGAACAAAAAGGAGAAAAUUAAACUGUGAAUUGAGGCCAAAAGGGUUCAACUGUGAACAGCAACUGCCUGCAUUUCAGCUGGACUCUGUAAAGAAGUGAUGUUUGACCCAUUUCAAAGUAAAAGGGAAUGAAAAAUGAUCUUAACCCUUUUAGUUUCUUUUCUAUAGCAAGAGAGCCUUCAGAACAGAUCAGAACCUGUCUGGGGGGAAAAUGCAUGUGAACUGUUUUAUCAGGUUUUGGAGGUUCCAUUGAUGUUUGCACAAAACUGCAAAAAAUAACUUUUAAAGUACUCCAGUGAGUCUCCAAAGGGACUUUAAACUACUCACCGCAUGUUGUGUGAUUUCAUGGUUUUAGCAAUAAGUGAAGAUUGUUUGAUAACAUGUCUUUGAAACGUUUCUGUGCAAAUGUGUGCAGACCAUUAAUCCAAUCGAAGUCUUUGUGGAUGAAUGUAAUACUGUAUUUUGUAAUGAUUUAAUAAAGCUGUGAAUAUUUUGAA